rnacentral:rRNA from 1 species
AUACGGAGGGGGUUAGCGUUGUUCGGAAUUACUGGGCGUAAAGCGCACGUAGGCGGAUUGGAAAGUUGGGGGUGAAAUCCCAGGGCUCAACCCUGGAACUGCCUCCAAAACUAACAGUCUAGAGUUCGAGAGAGGUGAGUGGAAUUCCAAGUGUAGAGGUGAAAUUCGUAGAUAUUUGGAGGAACACCAGUGGCGAAGGCGGCUCACUGGCUCGAUACUGACGCUGAGGUGCGAAAGCGUGGGGAGCAAACAGCAUUAGAAACCCCAGUAGUCC